UGUUUUAGAACUGGCAAGUGUUUUCUUUGUCUAUGUUUUAGUUCUAAAACAUAGACAAAGAAGACACUUGUGAGUUCUAAAACAUAG
rnacentral:pre_miRNA from 1 species